UACAGAGGGUGCAAGCGUUGUUCGGAAUUAUUGGGCGUAAAGGGUGCGUAGGCGGUGCGGUAAGUCUUUUGUGAAAUCUCCGGGCUCAACUCGGAGUCUGCAGGAGAAACUGCCGUGCUUGAGUAUGGGAGAGGUGAGUGGAAUUCCUGGUGUAGCGGUGAAAUGCGUAGAUAUCAGGAGGAACACCUGUGGCGAAAGCGGCUCACUGGACCAUAACUGACGCUGAUGCACGAAAGCUAGGGGAGCAAACAGG
rnacentral:rRNA from 1 species